ACCCCAGGCAAGCCAGGUGGGCAUUGUGGUGUUUAUUAUAUAUAUUUUUUUUUUUGGUCGUUUCAACUUUGUGCUUGCUUUCAGGCCUGGGUCCAAGAACACCAAGCCCGACGCCCUCUCCCAAGCCUUCUGCAGCACAGGGACCGACAAGACCACCCCGGAUACCAUUGUGCCCACUUCCUGUGUUUUUGGGGUGGUAGUGUGGCAGGUGGAGUGGCAGGUCAAUGCUGCUCUCUUGAGUCGCCCCAGUAACUGCCCGGCAGGACUCCUAUGUACCCGAACCGGUGAGGUCCUCAGUAUUACUAUGGGCUCACGCCUCUAAACUAACCUGCCACCUUGGUGUUGCCCGGUCUCUCUCCUUUCUCCGUAGAAGAUUCUAAUGGCCAACCAUGGAAGCUGACACUAAGAGCGUCGUCUCAGCUUGUCCGGUGUGCGCCCAAAAUAAGAACUCCAAUCAGCCCCCUUCUGGUUAUCUGCACCCGCUACCCAUCCCACGUCGACCAUGGUCCCAUUUGCUGCAGAUUUUGUCACCGGGUUUCCCCCAUCAGAGGGUAAGACUGUGGUCCUCACUGUCAUUGAUCGUUUUAGUAAGUUUGCACACUUCAUCCCUCUGGCCAAGCUACCCUCUGCCAAAGAAACCGCUGAAGUACCAGUGAGGGAGGUGUUUCACAUUCAUGGUCUGCCCACAGUUAUCAUUUCUGAUCGAGGAACCCAGUUCACCUCUGCGGUCUGGAGAUCCUUCUGCCGUGCCUUGGGGGCUUCCGUCAGCCUGACCUCCAGCUUUCACCUUCAAUCCAACGGCCAAGCUGAACAGGCCAACCAAGUGAUGGAGACCUCACUGCGUUGCCUGACUUCCUCCAACCCCACCACCUGGGCCUCACAGCUACCUUGGAUAGAAUACGCUGCCAUUAUCAGCCACAGGUUUGUCAUCGUUUCCAUAGACGCACAUCUAUGGAUACCAACCUCCGCUCUUCCGUCUCAGGAAAAGGAGAUCUCCGUGCCCUCUGUCCAGUUUCACAUCCGCCGUUGUCACUGCGCCUGUUCAGCCCUUCUCAGAUCGCUACCGCGGACAGGCCAAUCGCCGACGCACCACUGCCCCUGAAUACUCUCCGGGUAACAAGGUUUGGCUGUCCACCAAGGACAUCCCCUUUAAGACUGACUCUAAAAAAACGGUCGCCCCGGUUCAUUAGCCCAUUUGUCAUCGAAAGGGUUAUCAACCCUGAAGUGGUCAGACUCAAAUUGCCCCAUUCUCUCCAGAUUCACCCGUCUUUUCAUGUUUCCCAGAUCAAGCCUGUCCCCACCAGCCCGCUGCUGCUCUUUCCUCCUCCUCCCAGGAUCAUUGACAACGAGCCCGCCUACACCGUGCGGAGGAUUCAGUGUCUUGUGGACUGGGAGGGGUACGGCCCUGCUCCGACUUUUUUCGUUAUCAGCCUGGAGGUUGCCAGGAGGUGUCUGCUGCCUGGGGAGCUGAUUACACACACCUGCACAUGAUUUGCACUCCCUCCGGUUCCUGCCCUAUUUAAGUGGCGGCCUGACAUCCUGUCCUCGCCAGAUCUUUAAGUCGUUUUCCUUCCCUCGCCUGUCUGCUCUGCCUGCCCCGGUCUCCGCAGCCGCCACCAGCUCUCUUGUUUAAUUAAUCUCUGAGAACCAGCCCUAGUGUCCAGUCUAUUCCUGGGUCUUAUCUGAAGUGUGACAACAUCUUAGAAUCAUAUCCACCAUUACGCAUGAGUUUUCAUUUUCUACUGCGCCUUCCGGUAAUCUGUGUUUUUAUUUUUUUACAAGUCUUAUCAGGACCAGCCCUGACAAUGUUGGAGCCCUAGGCGAGAUUUUAAAUUGGCACCCCCCAUGCCCAACCCUAAAGUCCACCUCAGGGGUUGGGAUCAUCAGUAUCCACAGGAAGAAACAUUCAGUAGCCAAACUCACAAUUUUAGCAUGUAUAGAUGAACAACAAGUCAGUAAUCAUGGUCAAUGAAUACAUGUGAUCCGCAUACUUGUCAACCUCAACAUCAUAGCCUAAAUUGGGAGACCAAACCAUUUAGUUUCAAUGGUGGAGGGGACAGAAAUGAUGAGGGUGUAGGGGUCCUCCCCUAGAAAAUUUUAAGUAUUGAAGACUUCCUGCAUUCUGGGGAAAAUUUCUGCCUCAAUUAUGGUGGGAAAUUCUUAAUUUUGUAAAGGGAAACACACAAUUCAGACAGCAGGUGACGAUUCAUUACAUCCAAAAAAUGUUCACAUUCAAUGCACAUUCAGAAUCUGUCCCACAUAUCUUAGUUCUCUGACAUGUCCAGAAAAAGUCGUAACAUAACGAGACUGACAUCACUAUUAAAUAUUCAUAAUAUUUAAGUCUACCUGCUCUAUACUCUGUU